GUGUGCUUUGUGUUCUCCAUCUUGUUCUGUUUCCAUGCAAGUCGGAUCACGCGUACGCAUCCACGCAGUUUGUUUUUCAUUUUAUAUGGUUUCUUUAUUCAUUUCAUUUCAUUUUCCUUCAAUAAUCCUCUUCGUCUUUCGUUUUAAACGGAUCCCUUCAAUCCUCGAGCUCGAGUCCCAGCUGCAGCUACAGAUCCAGCAGAGACUGCUCAACGAUUGCUUUCGAUGUUCUGAAGUGGGCGAGUUUCCAAACAAAAAUGACGAAAAUAAAGAAGAGGAAGGAUAAUCAUCACUAGAGAAGCCUUUGCUUGUAUUAACAUUACUUGUUAAUACCAACUACUAUAAUGUUACUAAUAUUAUUAUUGAUAUACAGUAUUUUUGUUUUAAUUCCUCAUCAUCUGCUUAAAUUUAUUUAUGUUCCCUCCUUCUUCGGCCUGUUACGGAAUUCUGUUGUGUACUCUUGGACCUAAAUAUUCCACCAAUCUCUGUCCAAACGCUGUAUUCAUUCUAGGUAGGCUAUAUUAUGAAAAUUUAGGUCUCUUAUCCCAGUCAUGAUUAUGAGCUAUUAAGAUAUUGAAAUUUGUAUUUUUCCUUGUAUAAAUGAGUAAGACUAGAGCAUACAAUUGUCUGUCACUGAGGACUUUGUUUUCUAUCAACAAUUCACUAGUUGGGAAACGAUUGUCCUUGUUCAAUAUUCGUUUCAGUGCUUUGAAAACUGUAUCUACAAAACUGUAUUUUGCUGCAGCACUGUAAUUUGAGCGACCUGCUAGUUAAUAAAUAAAAUCAUCUUGAAAUGUGAA